rnacentral:rRNA from 1 species
AGAGUUUGAUCCUGGCUCAGGAUGAACGCUAGCGAUAGGCUUAACACAUGCAAGUCGAGGGGCAUCACGAAUUAGCAAUAGUUUGGUGGCGACCGGCGCACGGGUGCGUAACACGUAUACAACCUACCUUCAAUUGGGGGAUAACCUGGAGAAAUUCGGACUAAUAUCCCAUAGUAAACGGAAGAGGCAUCUUUUUUGUUUUAAAGAUUUAUUGAUUGGAGAUGGGUAUGCGUAGGAUUAGCUAGUUGGUAAGGUAACGGCUUACCAAGGCGACGAUCCUUAGGGGUUCUGAGAGGAAGGUCCCCCACACUGGUACUGAGACACGGACCAGACUCCUACGGGAGGCAGCAGUGAGGAAUAUUGGUCAAUGGUCGAGAGACUGAACCAGCCAAGUCGCGUGAAGGAAGACGGCUCUAUGAGUUGUAAACUUCUUUUGUACAGGAGUAAAGUGAGACACGCGUGUUUUAUUGCAAGUACUGUACGAAUAAGCAUCGGCUAACUCCGUGCCAGCAGCCGCGGUAAUACGGAGGAUGCAAGCGUUAUCCGGAUUUAUUGGGUUUAAAGGGUGCGUAGGCGGUAUUACAAGUCAGGGGUGAAAUCUUGGUGCUUAACAUUAAAAUUGCCUUUGAAACUGUGGUACUUGAGUGUAAAAGAGGUAGGCGGAAUGUGUUGUGUAGCGGUGAAAUGCAUAGAUAUAACACAGAACCCCGAUUGCGAAGGCAGCUUACUAUCAUACAACUGACGCUGAUGCACGAAAGCGUGGGGAUCAAACAGGAUUAGAUACCCUGGUAGUCCACGCAGUAAACGAUGAUUACUAGCUGUUAGCGAUAUACUGUUAGUGGCUAAGCGAAAGCGAUAAGUAAUCCACCUGGGGAGUACGUUCGCAAGAAUGAAACUCAAAGGAAUUGACGGGGGCCCGCACAAGCGGAGGAACAUGUG